UACGGAGGGGACUAGCGUUGUUCGGAAUUACUGGGCGUAAAGCGCACGUAGGCGGAUUUGUAAGUCAGGGGUGAAAUCCCGGGGCUCAACCUCGGAACUGCCUUUGAUACUGCAAAUCUCGAGUCCGGAAGAGGUGAGUGGAACUGCGAGUGUAGAGGUGAAAUUCGUAGAUAUUCGCAAGAACACCAGUGGCGAAGGCGGCUCACUGGCCCGGUACUGACGCUGAGGUGCGAAAGCGUGGGGAGCAAACAGG
rnacentral:rRNA from 1 species